rnacentral:rRNA from 1 species
CAAGGACUCGGGCUCUUCUUGCGCAGCCUAGGUGGGAGGCGUUGAAGGUUCCCUUCCGGGGGGGUUGGAGCCAUCGGUGAGAUACCACUCUGGAAGAGCUAGAUUCCUAAUGGUGUUCCUUGAAUCAAGACACUUGACAGUUUCAGGUGGGCAGUUUGUCUGGGGCGAACACCUCCUAAAAGGUAACUGAGGGUGUGCAAAGGUUCUCUCAGUCUGGACGGAAAUCAAACGUUGAGUGUAAAGGCAAAAGAGAGCUUGACUGCAAAACCUACAAGUCGAGCAGGGGCGAAAGCCGGCCUUAGUGAUCCGACGGUUCCCUGUGGAAGGGCCCUCCCUCAACGGAAAAAAGUUACUCUAGGGAAAACAGGGCUGAA